rnacentral:lncRNA from 1 species
CCCGUCGUCGGUCAGUGCCGGUGGAGGCCCGAAGGACGACGUGAUCUACAUCGGCGCAGCACCUACACUCACGCCAUGGACGUCUCCGGAUCUGCUCCUUCCGCCAACGACGGUCGAAACCCUAAACUAUUGAUCUAUAUGUUUCUACUAAAUUGUAAUAGAUCUAGUGUAUGCACAUAUAUAUAAAUGUCACUGUAUGCAUUGUUUUAUCCCGAAACCCCGUUCAUCCUAUUGCUAGUAGAUCCUGUAGAUCUAUCAAUGGUAUCGGCCGAUCUAGUAAUAGAUCGGGGUUUUCGGGUUUUACCCAGCAAGAACAGCAAGUAGAAGGAGAGGAUUUUCGAAUUCCUAACCCUAGCGCUCAGAUCCAAAACCCCAACCCUAGCACAAGAACCAGAUCAGGGAAGGGGAUUUCAAAACCCUAACCCUAAACAGCAAGGGGAAGGAGUACCCUUACCUGGGACUCACCUAUCCCGACCUCGUCUCCGGCCGUUUCUCCAUGGCGGGCGGGACGCAUGGGCAAGCUCAGGGCACCGCACACGAAACGCUCGACGGCGGCGCGCUCCGCAGUGAGCGAGCGCGCGCACCGGCGAGCGACCCGUUAGCGGCGCCAUCUCCUUCUCCGGCCGGUAGCGUUCUGCUGUGGGGCGCGGUGUGGGCUGGGAAGAAAAGCACAGAGAAAGAGAAAGAAAGGCACCAGCGGCUCCUUCUCACCGGCGUCGGGCCACCUCGGCCGCGGCUGCUGUAGGCGCUGUGCGCCGUCAAGAAGCAAGAGAGAGAGGGCGACGGCGGUGGCCCUGCUGCCGGGCACGGUGCCGGCGGCGGCGGCUCCCUGCUGUCCAUGCGCUGAGAGAGAGAGACAGAGAGAAGAGAGAGAGGGUGCAGGCAAGAAUGGCUAGGGUUUUCGGGUGUAGCAAGCUGGAUGGGGUUUUUGAUCACCCGAUAUCCAAGCACAGCCGUCGGAUCUCAUCCAAUGGCUGAGAUUGGCCAGAAACGAUGUUGGGCCGCUUUCGGCCCAGGCGGGGGCGAGCUUUCCCGGCCCAGGCCCAGGUUGCGGCCUGGGCGCGGGGGAGGAGCGAGCGGGUGGGCCAUUUCCACUACUGGGCCGCCAGCCGAAGCAAACAAAAAAAAACGGCUGGGCCUGGGCACUGCGCGCUGCUGGGCCAGCGCCUGAGCUGCUUGCCGCGGGCCGCAAGUGGCCAUGGGCCAAAUGGUUGGCCGCGGCCCGUCUAAGCAUGUAACUCCUUUUUACAUUCUAUUAUAUUUUCAGAAGCAUUUAAAUAUUUAUUUAGCUCAGUUUUAAAUUCUAUUUAAUUUGCACCAACGUGUAUAUUAAUUAGAAAGCACAGUCAGCUAAUUAUGCUUCUGAAAAUAGCAAGUAAAUUAAUGUUUUUCCGCUGCGCAAGUUAUUAUUUCGUUCUCAUAUUAAAUUGAACCAACGAGAUAUUUAAUUUGAGACACGAGUUUUAAAGCCUAGAAUCUUUUGUGAUGUUGUUAUUUUUUGACCAACGUUAAUAAUAGCAAUAUUGCAAAUUCCGAGUUCUAUUUUUAUGCAUUUAUUCUAUUCUGCCCAACGGUGAUUAGAAUUUUAUGUAGAGAGUUAAUUUUUGUAUAUCUUGAUUUUGACCAACGUUAAAUUAAGAUAUGCAAUUAUUUUUCCUAGAUUUAAUGUCAAUGUUCUCACUAUUUUCUCAUAUUUAAUUUCAGACCAAGCACUCAAUGCGAUGCACUUCAUUAGUGCAAUCCCAAAGCUGACGGGACAGAACUAUGUUCUGUGGCGCGAGGAACUUGAUGCUGCUCUAGCACUUGCUGAGAUAGAUUUGGCUCUUCAGGAGCCAAAGCCCACUGAGCCAGAGGAGCCCGAAAGGGCUCAGAAUGAGACCGACGAAGCUUUUGCUAAUCGGAAGCGAGACUUUGCUCCCAUCAGAGCAAAGUAUGAUCUUGAGAAAUACAAGUGGGAAAAGUCAAACCGCAAGUGCAAGAUUGUCAUCAAGAAAACCAUCACAGAGGGCCUAAGAGGUGCCAUCCCAGAAUGUGAGACAGCAAAAGAAUACCUUGAGAAAGUGAAGAAUCAGUUUACUGGUUCCACCAAAGCCCAUGCUUCCACCCUGAUCCAGAAACUCACUAACAUGAGGUUCACAGGGGGGAGUGUGAGAGAGCACAUUCUGAGCAUGAGCACCAUGGCAGCCAAGUUAGAGAAGCUAAAGAUGCCCCUUGCUGAUGGUUUCCUCAUUCACCUAGCUCUAAACUCACUUCCUAAAGAGUAUGAGACAUUUGUUGUUAACUACAACACACAGCCAGAGGAGUGGGAUUUAGAGAAGGUGAUUGCUAUGUGUGUGCAAGAGGAAGAAAGGCUCAAGAAUGCAAAUGGUGGUUCUGUGAACUUUGUGAAAGGAAAGAACAAGAAGCCAUUCUACAACAAGAAAGCUCCAGAUGCCUCCACCUUCCAGAACAAGGGAGGAAGCUCUUCACAGCCUAAAGCACAGCCAAAGCAAGACAACCAGCACAGGCAGGAGGACCCGGAUCGCUGUAGAUGGUGUAAUGAGACAGGGCAUUGGAAGCAUGACUGCCCUAAGUUCAUGAAACAUUGCCUAGUGAAAGGUGAGGACAUUAUAACUUUUGUUGAUGAAUCCUUAUAUCUAAGUUAUGCUAGAUCCACAUGGUGGAUUGACUCAGGUGCAACUGUUCAUGUUGCAAACUCUUUGCAGGGAUUCAGUGGAGGGAGAACCCUUCAAAGAGGAGAAAGACAGAUUAAGGUGGCCACUGGUGUUGAAGCUGAAGUUCAAGCUAUAGGAAAUUUAUCUCUAGAUUUAGCUAGUGGCUUCACCCUUGAGUUGCAUGAUGUUCUUUAUGUUCCCUCUUUAGCUAGAAAUUUAAUUUCAGUUUCAUGUUUGUCAGACUAUGGUUUUGAUUGCCAUUUCAGCAAGAAUGAUUGUAAGCUACAGUUAAAUAAUAAAUGUGUGGGUCUUGCCUUCCGACAAGACAAACUUUAUUUAUUAUCUUUGUCUGAGAAUGUGAAUGCUGAAUGUAAUAAUGCUGAGAAUGCAAUACCCGCAGAUGCUAGCAAGAAAAGAAAGAGAAUUGAUUCCUCAUCGAAAUUAUGGCACUGCCGUUUAGGCCAUAUUUCGAGGGGGAGAAUAGAACGCUUAGUCAAAGAAUCAAUCCUCCCACCAUUAGAACUCUCAGAGUUAGAGCAAUGCGUUGAUUGCAUUAAAGGCAAGUUAGUAAAGAACAUAAAGAAAGGCGCUAAGCGAAGCAUGGGAGUACUAGAAUUGAUCCACACAGACAUCUGUGGACCUUUUCCAGUGACAUCUGUGGAUGGUUUUGAUUCCUUCAUCACAUUCACAGAUGACUACUCUCGUUUUGGAUACAUCUAUCCAAUCAAAGAACGCUCAGAAGCUUUAGACAAAUUUAAGAUAUUCAAGGCUGAGGUUGAAAACCAACUAGACAGAAAAAUUAAAGUAGUAAGAUCUGACCGUGGGGGGGAGUACUACGGUCGACAUACCCCUUAUGGACAAGUUCCUGGACCUUUUGCAAGGUUCUUACAGGAAAAUGGCAUAGUAGCCCAGUAUUCAAUGCCAGGGGACCCACAGCAGAAUGGAGUAGCAGAAAGGCGUAACCGUACUCUAAUGGAUAUGGUGCGCAGCAUGAUGAGCUAUUCCACUCUGCCACUGAGUUUGUGGAUGGAGGCCUUAAAAACCGCCAUUCAUAUUCUCAACAGAGUUCCAAGCAAGUCAGUACUUAAAACCCCGUAUGAGUUGUGGAUCGGCAGGAAACCCUCAGUCAACCAUCUGCGUGUCUGGGGGAGCCCCGCUGAAGCAAAAGUGUUUAACCCAAACAUAGGAAAGCUAGACCCCAAAACAGUAAGUUGUCAUUUUAUUGGCUAUCCAGAAAAGUCGAAAGGUUAUCGUUUCUACUGCCCUGGUAGACAUACCAAGUUUGUGGAAACGAGACACGCUAGUUUUCUAGAAGAUCAGAUGAUCAGGGGGAGCAAGGCAGCGCGAGAAAUUAACCUUGAAGAGAAGCGGGUGUUCGUGCCCAUUCCCAUGGUGCAAGAACCCUACUUUACGCUGCCCGUUGUUGUUGGAUCUACACCAGUAGUGACAACACCUGCUACUUUUCCGCCUAUGGCCAAUUUGGAACCUGUCCCUCAGGAGCCGAAUGAACCCAUAGUCGAAGAACAACAGCCCCAACAAGAGCAACCUCAAGAAGAAAUGCCAGUAGCAGAAACUUCUGGCAGACCUCAAAGAGCGAGAAAGUCUCCUAUUCCAGAUGACUAUAUAGUCUAUGAAUGCGAAGAGUUUCAGAUGGAGGAUGAACCCACUUCAUUUGAAGAAGCCAUGAGGAGCACCGAAGCAUCUAAGUGGCAAGAAGCCAUGGAAGAUGAAUUAAAGUCUAUGAGUACCAAUGAAGUUUGGGACCUAGAGGAAAUUCCUGAAGGAGCCAAAACAGUAGGCUGCAAAUGGGUCUACAAGGUGAAACGUGACUCCAAAGGGAACAUAGAAAGGUACAAAGCAAGACUGGUAGCCAAGGGUUUCACUCAGCGAGAAGGGAUAGAUUAUAAUGAAACAUUCUCUCCUGUCUCGAGCAAGGACUCUUUUAGAAUCAUAAUGGCCCUAGUGGCACAUUUUGAUCUAGAAUUGCAUCAAAUGGAUGUGAAGACAGCUUUUCUCAAUGGGGAUCUAGAAGAAAGAGUAUACAUGGCACAACCAAAAGGUUUUGUUGUGACAGGCAAAGAAAGAAUGGGCUGUCGCCUGAAGAAAUCCAUUUAUGGAUUAAAGGAAGCAUCCAGGCAGUGGUAUUUAAAGUUUGAUAAGACAAUCAGAAAGUUUGGGUUUAAAGAGAACGUUGAGGACAAUUGCGUAUAUGCAAAGUUUAAGAAUGGGAAAUACAUUUUCCUAGUACUGUAUGUAGAUGACAUUCUACUAGCCAGUAGUGAUGUCACUCUACUGUAGGAAACCAAGAGAUUUUUGUCCUCAAAUUUCGAUAUGAAAGAUUUAGGUGAAGCUUCUUUUGUCUUGGGCAUAAAGAUUCACCGAGAUAGAAGUCGAGGGGUAUUGGGAUUGUCCCAAGAGGCAUAUAUAGAGAAAAUAUUGAAGAAAUUCAAUAUGCAUAAGUGUAGACCUUCACCUGCUCCUAUUGUAAAAGGUGACAAGUAUGGGGAACAUCAAUGUCCCAAGAGCAAGUUCGAGCGCGAUCGCAUGCAAGCCGUUCCAUACGCUUCAGCUGUCGGAAGCUUACAGUAUGCUCAAGUGUGCACACGCCCAGACCUGGCUUUUGUGACCGGGUUACUUGGUAGAUAUCAAAGUAAUCCAGGUAUGGAACACUGGAAUCUAGUAAAGAAAGUCUUAAGGUACUUGCAAGGCACGAAAGGGCUCAUGUUAACCUAUAGAAGAUCUGAUGACCUACAAAUAGUAGGGUAUUCAGAUUCUGAUUACGCGGGAGAUGAUAGAAAGUCUACCUCAGGGUAUAUAUUCACUCUCGCGCAAGGAGCCAUAUCAUGGAAGAGCUCAAAACAAACAAUAGUCACUGCAUCGUCCACAAUGUAUGCUGAGUUUAUUGCUUGUUAUGAGGCAUCAGGACAGGUGAAUUGGCUUAAGAAAUUUAUACCCAGUUUAAAGGUGGUCGACAGCAUCGAUAAACCACUAAAGUUGUAUUGUGACAACGAGCCAGCAGUGUUGUAUGCUCACAACAACAAGUCAAGCAAUGCAGCCAAGCACAUUGACAUAAAAUAUUAUGUUGUCAAGGAUAAAAUCCGGGAUCACGUCAUAAGUCUUGAACAUAUAAGCACAGAAAAGAUGCUAGCGGAUCCGCUUACCAAAGGCUUACCGCCCAACGUGUUCAGAGAACAUGUAGCCGGCAUGGGUUUAAGGGAAAGCCUGUGAUUCCUGGAUAGUAAGGGGCCCAAGGCGAGAAUUCAUCUCUAAAUAGAAAAGUGUUUGUGGCUGUCUAAUCUAGCAGUGAUAACUGUCAAGAUGAAGCAUGCUCAAUACACUGAUUUGUGAUGGGGUGAGUUGACAAAGCGAGAUAGCACAGUUGAGAUCAAGGGGGAGAAUGUUAGGUUGAUCUCAGGCCCAGCCCAACGGCUGGGGCCUCUUACCCCCUGGAUCGCGCCCUGAUCGGGGGCGCCCAACCGAUCCAUGGUUGGUGGGCCCCCGACGCGCUGCGCUAUAUAAACAGGAGUGGGGGCCGCAGGCACGUAACCUGAAGUUCGCCGUGCACACAUCCCCACUCGACAAACCCUAGGCCUUCCGAUCGGCAGUGCGCAGUAGCGUCGGGAAGCACCACCGCGCCGCCUCCGUUCUACUCCUGCCCCGUCGUCGGUCAGUGCCGGUGGAGGCCCGAAGGACGACGUGAUCUACAUCGGCGCAGCACCUACACUCACGCCAUGGACGUCUCCGGAUCUGCUCCUUCCGCCAACGACGGUCGAAACCCUAAACUAUUGAUCUAUAUGUUUCUACUAAAUUGUAAUAGAUCUAGUGUAUGCACAUAUAUAUAAAUGUCACUGUAUGCAUUGUU